GUCCAUGCUGUAAACGAUGUUCACUAGGUGCAGGUGGUAUCGACCCCUUCUGUGCCGAAGCUAACGCGUUAAGUGAACCGCCUGGGGAUUACGACCGCAAGGUUAAAACUCAAAGAAAUUGACGGGGGCCCGCACAAGCAGUGGAUCAUGUGGUUUAAUUCGACGAUACACGUAGAACCUUACCUAAACUUGACAUCCUUGGAAUCCUUUAGAAUUAAAGGAGUGCCUUCGGGAACUGAGUGA
rnacentral:rRNA from 1 species